GUCGUUAUCUACCAGAUGGAAGCAUAGCAUCUCUUCUGUAAGAGAAGAAGAAAAACACAUUCCUAAGUUUUAAUAUCGUCGAGACGAGAGGAAUGAGCCGUUUGCCGGAAACGUUGAAGAGCCGAGCGUGUGGUGGGAAAGGACGCCGACCAGCAACAUGGAGACGUGGAAUUGGACGCUUACUCAAACAUCCAGAGGUCGCCAACUUUUCCAAGACAUUUCUUGCAGACUCCAGUCUCACCUUCUGUGAUGUGUUCACCAUCGACAGUGGAACAAGGUUGGUCUAUUUUAGUAUCAUUCAUUUUCCUAGCUUAGUCUUAAACAGCUAAUGUACAUGCAUGUUUGGUAAAUUCAUUUGCUGCCACAUUAAAUAACAUCCAAUAUUUAGAAGCCAACAGCAUAUAGCUACUAAAGCCAUUUAUUUUAGCAUUGUCUACACGUUUAUGACAAUGAGGAUACAUUCAGGAUUGGUGUCUGACCAAGGUGUACUCUUCUUGUAAGCCCUGCUUUAUCACUCAACAUUUUUCUUUUAUGACU